GAUGAACGCUGGCGGCGUGCCUAAUACAUGCAAGUCGAACGCAUUGAGAGAAGUGCUUGCACUUUUCAAUUUGAGUGGCGAACGGGUGAGUAACACGUGGGCAACCUACCUGAUAGCGGGGGAUAACGAGUGGAAACAUUCGCUAAUACCGCAUAACAAUAGAGAAGGCAUCUUCUUUAUUUAAAAGGCGCUUUCAAGCGUCACUAGCAGAUGGGCCCGCGGUGCAUUAGUUAGUUGGUGGGGUGAAGGCCUACCAAGACGAUGAUGCAUAGCCGAGUUGAGAGACUGCUCGGCCACAUUGGGACUGAGACACGGCCCCAACUCCUACGGGAGGCUGCAGUAGGGAAUCUUCCACAAUGGACGAAAGUCUGAUGGAGCAACGCCGCGUGUGUGAUGAAGGCUUUCGGGUCGUAAAGCACUGUUGUAUGGGAAGAAAUGCUAGGCUAGGAAAUGAGCUUAGUUUGACGGUACCAUACCAGAAAGGGACGGCUAAAUACGUGCCAGCCGCCGCAGUAA
rnacentral:rRNA from 1 species